AACGAACGCUGGCGGCAGGCUUAACACAUGCAAGUCGAGCGCCCCGCAAGGGGAGCGGCAGACGGGUGAGUAACGCGUGGGAAUCUACCCAACCCUACGGAAUAACGCAUGGAAACGUGUGCUAAUACCGUAUACGCUCUACGGGGGAAAGAUUUAUCGGGGAUGGAUGAGCCCGCGUUGGAUUAGCUAGUUGGUGGGGUAAAGGCCUACCAAGGCGACGAUCCAUAGCUGGUCUGAGAGGAUGAUCAGCCACAUUGGGACUGAGACACGGCCCAAACUCCUACGGGAGGCAGCAGUGGGGAAUAUUGGACAAUGGGCGCAAGCCUGAUCCAGCCAUGCCGCGUGAGUGAUGAAGGCCCUAGGGUUGUAAAGCUCUUUCACCGAUGAAGAUAAUGACGGUAGUCGGAGAAGAAGCCCCGGCUAACUUCGUGCCAGCCGCCGCCGUAAUAC
rnacentral:rRNA from 1 species